rnacentral:misc_RNA from 1 species
GGGUGGAGGAAUUCGCUGCCGCCGCUGUGCAGAGGAAGAGGAGGCUGCAGGUGGAGCUCGACUACUACCCGGAUAAUGUCUUAUUUGAUAGCGGCAGGCCGGAGAUUGGGCAGGUGUUCAGCGAUAAGCUGAGGCUGGAGCUCUGCCCGGCUAUGUCGGGGAACAAUUUGGUGUCUCCUAGCACGCAGAGCUCGAACGAGGAUGCAAGGAGCCCCAGCACAGGCCCAGGCCUAGCUAUACUGCCGGAGUCGCUGGAGCUCUCUGACACUGGAGCAUCC